GUGUGUCUUGGUCCAUCCGGGUGCUGUGAGAGAGGGUCAUCGGAGCUAGUAAACACAACAGGGAAAAUGUAGGGUCAAGGUCAUUCAGAUCCAGCCACGGUCUGCUGAGGAACUGCAUCGUGGUACGGUAUUCUCAUGUGACGAAAGAGCCAAGAAGAGACAAGGAGUGAAGCCUACCUACCUCAGAUCAGCUCUAGCCUACUGACGACAAGACAGCGUGGAGCUCACACGGUGGUGCAGACAUUGGACAGAUGAGCAUGGUCUGUUUUCUAGAAGGGAAGCGGGAGCCUGACAGUCGUCCAGCCACCACGAAUGUUCUGAGGGAAGAGAGCAGCCUGAGUCGCUAGGAGCUGAUCUGAAGCUUGCUGGAUGGCCGUGGUGCUCUCUGGCUGGGCAACAUCAUCUUACAGAGCACAAGGCAAGGGCACUUGGAGACCUUGUCAGACAAGGCAAAAGCAAGACCAUGUGAUUUGUAAGACAGCGAGGUCUCACAGAGUAUACAGUGGUGUUUGCUUCUUUGCCAACAGCCUCUCUUCCCCGAGCUGACUUCCACAAAGGAGACUUGCAGUGUCCAGGUGCAGAACAGCAUUUCUCAAAGAGUCCCCCAACCUGCUGCCCUCUGCCCAUCAAACCCAAUCACUCGUAAAGGCCACCGAGCUGUGUUUUCUAGCUCUUAUUGUUGCUUCUAUAACUUUCUGCCUAAGGGGUUGAUUUGCAGUACAAUGCACCGAUAUGA